rnacentral:lncRNA from 1 species
AAUAAUAUAAUAUAUAGAAAGACUAACUUUGGUGUUUGCUUAUCGAAGAAAUUAAGAGAGAUCGAUGGCAGCUACAGCGGUGAUUCUCUGGUGGAGAAAUUGGAGAUGUUAGUUAAUGAAGUUAAUAUCAGGUGCAGUAAAGGAAGAGUUUCAACGUUUAGUGGAACAAGUUGAAAGGCUACAAAGCGAGUCCUGGUUGAAGAUAUGCGCUGUGAGGCGCGCGACGUUCUGCCUAGAAAAGACGCUGCCUCCAUCGAACCCAGAUUCGAGUCAUUCAAAUUUGGAUAAUCCAGGAAAAGUCCUACUAAUGGACUAAAUUAGUUACAAAAAGUGUUUGAUCUAUCCUAGCUUGAGGGAAUAGGAGUUGAAUAUAUUUGCUAUUUGUUAUGUGUGGCGUCCUGACGUAUAGGCAUGGUGACAAGUAUCUAUAUCUUGGGGCUCGAGCAUGAUCGUGAGUCUUAAAUGGAUAAUCUCACAUACUUAUUUGAUUCUAUGAAAGAAUUAUUUGUGUGAGUCUUGUAUUAUAAUUAUUAUGAUUUUGUUGUAGUUUGUUGCGCUUCAUAUGUUAUUAUUAUUAUUAUUAUUGUUCCCUUGCUGGGAUGUUUGUUUUGAUAUUAUUGUUCCCUUGCCG